AUUGAACGCUGGCGGCAUGCCUUACACAUGCAAGUCGAACGGUAACGGGCCUUCGGGUGCCGACGAGUGGCGAACGGGUGAGUAAUACAUCGGAACGUGCCCGAACGUGGGGGAUAACGAGGCGAAAGCUUUGCUAAUACCGCCUACGACCUACGGCUGCAAGCAGGGGACCGCAAGGCAUUUCGCGGACGGACCGGCAGAUGGCAGAUUAGGUAGUUGGUGGGAUAAAAGCGUACCAAGGCGACGAUCUGUAGCUGGUCUGAGAGGAUGAUCAGCCACACUGGGACUGAGACACGGCCCAGACUCCUACGGGAGGCAGCAGUGGGGAAUUUUGGACAAUGGGCGCAAGCCUGAUCCAGCCAUGCCGCGUGCAGGAUGAAGGCCUUCGGGUUGUAAACUGCUUUUGUACGGAACGAAAAGCCUUCUUUUAAUACAGGAGGGUCAUGACGGUACCGUAAGAAUAAGCACCGGCUAACUACGUG
rnacentral:rRNA from 1 species